CUCACCAGGAGGGUGAUAAGAGACCGGUGGGUAACUUUCAUGGUCAGGAGGGGCUAAAAUCACCAAGGAAUUAUCGUGCAAAAGUUGGUACUAAAACCUUCUCUGGAUGUCUUAGCUCAUCUGUUGAGACAUCCAGAGACGUGUAGAGCAAACACGAUUCUCAACAAUUGAGCACUCCCAGAAUAUCCAAAGGAAUGAAGCCUCUGGUUGGUACUGCAAAGAUACAUCUCACCUAAAGGAAGCCAGAGAGCACUCAACGAAUGACAUGCAAGCUAAUAGAAGAUCUAAGCAUCAACCCAAUCAGCAUCCAAAUUGAGUUGUAAAGCCAUUCAAGAUGACGUCUUCCACAAGAUGAUCAUAAGAAGACUUCAGUAGCUGACUAAGGAAAGUUAGCAUAUGCAGUAGCAAUCAAGUGGAAAGAUG
rnacentral:lncRNA from 1 species